CCAAAGAACUCUCUUUUGCCUCUUUUUGGUGCCCUCUCUAGACUGCAACGUAGCCUACUCCUGAAGACUUGCUUUAACUUGUUUUGUAGCAUUUUGUUCUUCAUCAUGCCAUAAUGUUUUUGUCCAUUUUGGUACCAGAGUAAUAUUUUAUAAGGGUUUUGCCAGCUAAACCUUCUAGUUUACAUUAUCCUAUUAUAUUUCGGCUAUGGUCUAAGGUCAUCGGUUUUCAAUUGAUUAGCCACUGCGAUACGAACCAACAUUUAUUUAGAGCUUGGAUUAACUUCAGAUGAUCCCUCCACAGUGCUGUGAUGAAUUUCAUGACUGAUCAAAUUAAUCUUACCCUCUUCUUUCUUGCCAUUUAAAUGCAUUACUUUUUUCAUCCUUCCAGUUGAUUUUCAUUGGAACAAAUAGACUCCAGUUUCCUUUUCUUCCCUUACAUGGUAGGCCAAGGUCACCAGUUUCCAUUUGAUAAGCUGCUCUCGUGGUGGCCUAUCCUGAAAGCCUUAGAUAAUGCAAGCACCUUCUGGUCUUUGGCUUCCGAGACGAAUAGAGGUUUAUCUAGAUGCCACCCCCUACUUAUGGGAUAAUGGGAGUCCAGAUAUACUGGAAUGGUUCCAACAUCAAAGAUAUCCAUGGGUCUGUCUGACCAUGAUCAGCUGGAGAACUCACUCAUGAACAGUUGAAAAAACAGAGGCCGGAUGAAGAUUAUGUCUGUUGAAACCAUUCGAGGUAGCAGGUGAAAGCAGUUGGGCAGUACCAAAAAGUACCAUCAAAAUAUAUCUCGGCAGCUUAUACAUUUUGGGCAGAACCGAAGGAAAGAUGCUGCUCUUCCAUUUUGGUGGCAAUCUCUACAAAGAAACUGGUUUUCGGACUAGUUAAAUUGAUGCUCUUUGUCUGACACCAAGAGGAAUGCCGAAUCUAAAACAGAGGCAUGAAUAGACGACAGGUAAGGGUCGCAGCUUGAUAUGCGGCAGUGCAGCUGAACCCGCAAAAAAAAUUAUGGCUCAUGUCCCCCACCAUUUUAGAUCGAGAUCUGGAAUCCAUUUGUAUUUUAAGUUCUCAACAUGAUCAAAAGAAGUAGUUCUUCAGCACCAA